ensembl:lncRNA
GCACUAUAGACAUAUAAAGCAGCAUAAGACAUCUGUUGCUUGCUCUCUAAGAACUAUAGGUAGGCAGGGGACUUCCCUGUUGGUCUAGUGAAAACUGCGUUUCCAGAGCAGGGGGCAUGGGUUCAAUCCCUGGUGAGGGAACUAAGAUCCUGCAUGCUAACAAGGGAUAAGUGGGGAAAAAAAGGAGAAAUGGCAUAUUGCAGAUUCCACCCAAGUUAGUGGCAGAUCCAGGUUAGGAACUCAGGACUCCAGAGUCCUAAACUGGGUGCUAUAACAAAACCAGAAAGAAUAUAAACUGUGCUCCUCCAUGCUCUCCAUGCUUCCCAUUACAGACUAGGUGAGAAUAUGAUGGUCACAAAUGAAACAACUUCAGCAAACACUGUAUCAAUAAGCACAAAAUAUGCUACAAAUCAUGUCCCUUAGUGCCAAAGGAGGGUGCUAUAAGUGACCUGUGGGGGUUUUUUUCUAAGAAUUUUUUCUGGUGAUAGCAUAUUCAUUUACAUAUUUUUCCUAGAUCCUGUAAGGAAUUCAUAAGACUUAAAGAAAACUUGGAAAACACAGAAAAGUAGAAAGAAAAAGAAGACUGCUUUUGAGGUCCCAUCACCAAACAGAAUCACUAAUUAUUAUUUUGGAAUACUUCCAUCCAGUCUUUUUUUUCACUAGGCAUAGACAUUUUAAGUUAAUAAGUAAACAUGUAAUUUUAAUAUACAAAAUAUGCAAAAAAUUCAAAAUUCAAGAGGUUAAAAAAAAUCAGUCCUUUUCUAUCGUUUUACCCAUCUUCAGCCACACAGUUUCCCUCCCAUGAGCCAUUCUAUUCAUAGAUUUCUGUUUCCAAGUUUAUAAGAAGUUUAUUUAUUUGUAUACUGCAUCUCCAUGAGUAUGGAAUCACUAAUCAUGGCAAUGCCAUACUAGUUAUAUACUGCAUUUGGUGAAGUAAUCUUUAAAACUGGGACUUUAAUAUUUUAUCAUAGAAUCGUGGAAUUAUAGGGUUGGAAAUUACUUAAGAGAAUCAUUCAUUCAACUUCCUGAGAAAAUUAAAUAAAUAAACUCUUAAGAGUUCAGAGUUAGAAGAGCCAAGAUUAUCAUGUAGAUUUUCUGAAUUUCCUGUUAGUGAUCCCUCCAAUACAACAUAUUCCAGCACAUCCACUCAAAAUAUUGCAAGUAAACAUCGUAAUGCUUACGACAAGC